UCACGUCUUACGACGGCAGUUUCACUAGAGUUCCCAGCGUUACCUGAUGGCAACUAGUGAUGGGGGUUGCGCUCGUUGCGGGACUUAACCCAACACCUCACGGCACGAGCUGACGACAGCCAUGCAGCACCUCUGCCAGCUCCCUUGCGGGUCGUUCCCCUUUCAGGGUCCUACCACUGACAGUUCAAGCCCAGGUAAGGUUCUUCGCGUUGCAUCGAAUUAAACCACAUGCUCCACCGCUUGUGCGGGCCCCCGUCAAUUCCUUUGAGUUUCACCCUUGCGAGCGUACUCCCCAGGUGGAAUACUUAUCAGGUUUCCUUCGGCACUGACCAAAAAAGGCCAACACCAAGUAUUCAUCGUUUAGGGCGUGGACUAC
rnacentral:misc_RNA from 1 species